ensembl:snRNA U6 U6 spliceosomal RNA
GUGCUAUCGGCAGCACAUAUACUAAAAUUGGAAGGAUAUAGAGAAGAUUAGCAUGGCCCCUGCGCAAGGAUAAUACAAGUUAAAAUAGAUAAAAAUAAUGUGGCA